rnacentral:rRNA from 1 species
AUACGGAGGGUGCAAGCGUUAUUCGGAAUCACUGGGCGUAAAGGACGCGUAGGCGGGUUGGCAAGUCAGAUGUGAAAUCCUACAGCUUAACUGUAGAACUGCAUUUGAAACUGCUAACCUAGAGUAUGGGAGGGGGAGAUGGAAUUAGUGGUGUAGGGGUAAGAUCCGUAGAUAUCACUAGGAAUACCGAAAGCGAAGGCGAUCUCCUGGAACAUAACUGACGCUAAGGCGUGAAAGCGUGUGGAGCAAACAGGAUUAGAUACCCCAGUAGUCC